UACAGAGGCCCCAAGCGUUACUGAGAAUCACUGGGUUUAAAGGGUGCGUAGGUGGUCCGUUAAGUUCGUUGUGAAAGCCCUGGGCUCAACCCAGGAACUGCUUCGAAUACUGGCGGACUUGAGGCUAGUAGAGGUCACUGGAACUGACGGUGGAGCGGUGAAAUGCGUAGAUAUCAAGAGGAACACCAGUGGCGAAGGCGGGUCUCUGGGCCGAUACUGACGCUGAGGAGCGAAAGCGUGGGGAGCGAACAGG
rnacentral:rRNA from 1 species